rnacentral:rRNA from 1 species
GGUUUGAUCCUGGCUCAGAUUGAACGCUGGCGGCAGGCUUAACACAUGCAAGUCGAGCGGAGAUGAGGUGCUUGCACCUUAUCUUAGCGGCGGACGGGUGAGUAAUGCUUAGGAAUCUGCCUAUUAGUGGGGGACAACAUUCCGAAAGGAAUGCUAAUACCGCAUACGUCCUACGGGAGAAAGCAGGGGAUCUUCGGACCUUGCGCUAAUAGAUGAGCCUAAGUCGGAUUAGCUAGUUGGUGGGGUAAAGGCCUACCAAGGCGACGAUCUGUAGCGGGUCUGAGAGGAUGAUCCGCCACACUGGGACUGAGACACGGCCCAGACUCCUACGGGAGGCAGCAGUGGGGAAUAUUGGACAAUGGGGGGAACCCUGAUCCAGCCAUGCCGCGUGUGUGAAGAAGGCCUUAUGGUUGUAAAGCACUUUAAGCGAGGAGGAGGCUACUGAGACUAAUACUCUUGGAUAGUGGACGUUACUCGCAGAAUAAGCACCGGCUAACUCUGUGCCAGCAGCCGCGGUAAUACAGAGGGUGCGAGCGUUAAUCGGAUUUACUGGGCGUAAAGCGUGCGUAGGCGGCUUUUUAAGUCGGAUGUGAAAUCCCCGAGCUUAACUUGGGAAUUGCAUUCGAUACUGGGAAGCUAGAGUAUGGGGAAGGGGAUGGGUAGAAUUCCAGGUGGUAGCGGUGAAAUGGCGGUAGAGAUUUGGAGGAAAUACCGAAUGGCGAAGGCAGCCAUCUGGGCCUAUACUGACGCUGAGGUACGAAGGCAUGGGGGAGCAACAGGAUAAGAU